AGGGAAAGGGGGGGGGAGGCCUAACACAUGCAAGUCGAACGGCAGCACAGUAAGAGCUUGCUCUUACGGGUGGCGAGUGGCGGACGGGUGAGGAAUACAUCGGAAUCUACUUUUUCGUGGGGGAUAACGUAGGGAAACUUACGCUAAUACCGCAUACGACCUACGGGUGAAAGCAGGGGAUCUUCGGACCUUGCGCGAUUGAAUGAGCCGAUGUCGGAUUAGCUAGUUGGCGGGGUAAAGGCCCACCAAGGCGACGAUCCGUAGCUGGUCUGAGAGGAUGAUCAGCCACACUGGAACUGAGACACGGUCCAGACUCCUACGGGAGGCAGCAGUGGGGAAUAUUGGACAAUGGGCGCAAGCCUGAUCCAGCCAUACCGCGUGGGUGAAGAAGGCCUUCGGGUUGUAAAGCCCUUUUGUUGGGAAAGAAAAGCAGCAGGUUAAUACCCCGCUGUUCUGACGGUACCCAAAGAAUAAGCACCGGCUAACUUCGUG
rnacentral:rRNA from 1 species